rnacentral:lncRNA from 1 species
GCGUAGACGAGUUAAGUCCUGGUCUGCGUGGAGGUCGACGACUCCGUCGCAGACUACGGACCUGUCUGGGUCUCAGCCGCCAAAGACCCCGUCCGGAAGUACUAGCCGGACAUCAUGAGUGGCUGUCGGGUAUUCAUCGGGAGACUAAAUCCAGCGGCCAGGGAGAAGGACGUGGAAAGAUUCUUCAAGGGAUAUGGACGGAUAAGAGAUAUUGAUCUGAAAAGAGGCUUUGGUUUUGUGGAAUUUGAGGAUCCAAGGGAUGCAGAUGAUGCUGUGUAUGAGCUUGAUGGAAAAGAACUCUGUAGUGAAAGGUGAGAUUCCUGUGUAACUAGAUAACCCUGGGACAUAGAGCAGACUGGGUCUGCUGGCAUAUUUUUCUAAGUAGAUUUAUGUAGCUUAAGUGUGUAACGGAGAUUUUUCUUCCCUUUUUGUAGGGUUACUAUUGAACAUGCUAGGGCUCGGUCACGAGGUGGAAGAGGUAGAGGACGAUACUCUGACCGUUUUAGUAGUCGCAGACCUCGAAAUGAUAGACGGUAUGUGAAGGGUGGAUGGCUGCAUUGAACAAUUAUUGUAGGGGUAGCAUUUAAGAUUCAGGAGUCAUUAGCAGUGAUGAUUUUGGGUCCUGCCGUAUAAUCUGUUCUUCUAUUCCCACGUUAGCCAGUUGUUCUUGAUGAAUCUAUAUGAGUCAUAGAACACAAAUCUAUUGACGGAAGUCAUUAGAAUGGCUUGUGAUAUCUGAUGGCUUGAACUUGCCCACAGUUGAACACAAGUGCUGUCAUUGCAUUUCUUCCAUUGUGAAUACGAAUUUUCUUCCUCAGAAAUGCUCCACCUGUAAGAACAGAAAAUCGUCUUAUAGUUGAGAAUUUAUCCUCAAGAGUCAGCUGGCAGGUUUGUUGAAAUACAGUUUUGAGUUAUUUUGAUGUGGCUUUUUAAAAAAGUUAAUGGGUAGCUAAUGUUGUAUUGUUUUAUUAAAAGUAGUUUUAAAUUAAUGGAUUUAAUGGAAUUGUAAUUUUAAACAUUUAAUUAAAUGUAAUUUGGGGGAUAUUUUGAACUUUAAUAUUAGUGAUCAAAUGUAAAUGUUUUGAGGAUAUUUUUCUUGUUUUUUAAAAUCAAUUUUUAACCAAAUAUUAAACCCUUUAUUUGCCAGCCUGUCUGUGUCGUUGGCCUUAUGACGAGGAGUGCCUGUGGGUUAUCCUAAUCGUUGUCUUGGUCACUCUUGGUUGGGCCUGGUUGACUUUGCCAGUCAGCUCCUACAGUGAUCAGUUGGCCACCUCUAGAUCUGUGUUUGCCGGUCUAGACGUUAUCGGUGCACUUCCUUGAAGUGCCAGGUUGCAGCGAUCCCAGAGCGUUGAUAACGUGAUCUGAUCCCUAAGUUGAGACCUGUCUUCCUGUAACGCUUCCGAAUAAGAGGUCCGGUCGAAAAGAGUUGAAAGAUACGAAAUUAGGUGGUCGUUGGAAUCCUGAUCGCAGUAAAGUGGUCCUUGGUAACUGCUCGAGUAGAACAUGUCUGCAUCCGCCAAUAGUCCGCUAAUAGGGAGGGCUGUGCGAUUAAAGGCUUCCAUCGAUUGGGUAGUGUCCUUCAAGUGGGUGGCGAAGAGCCAGUCGGGCAUAUGUCAUGAAGGUUUCUCCGACCGAUUAAUGGUUUGCUGCUUGACUAGCCUAGGGAAAUAAUAAUAAAGGUAAAGUAAACUUUUUUAAUGACAUAUGGGGCACAAAAUAACUGGUGUCUUGUAAAUGUUCUGUUUUUUUAAAUAAAACUUCUCUACUUUAGUCUUUACUUUAAAAAUAUGUACUGUUUCCUUUUUUGUUGUUUUUUUGUUUGUUUUUUUUUCUUUUGUACUGAGCUCAGCAUAGACUAAUACUACCUUAAUGUUAAAAUCUGAAUUUCUUUUAGCAUUUUGCUUAAAAGCAAUAUGCUAUUUG